ensembl:misc_RNA
CUGAAUCUCUUAACAAUUGAAACAUGUUUAUUUAUGCAAAGAGCAGACAUGGCAUGGGAAUCUGUGGUUCAUGAUUCCCCAGCAAGUCCUGCCAAAGUGCCUUUACUCUUGUUCUGGAAGAACCACUUCUGGUAACGAGAGUAAUUUACUUCUUUGCCUACUCAAACUUUGUUUUUC